ensembl:ncRNA R13H8.5 ncRNA
AUGGAGGGUGAUGAAGAAGGUGGUCUCUGGGAAGAGGGGGGCAUAGAGACAGCCGUUUGGGUGCGGGCGAAAAAAAGAGACAUCUCGUCCGUGUCGGUGUGGAAAGGGGGUAGCCGGGUGGCC